rnacentral:lncRNA from 1 species
GUCACACUGAAAGCCAGAGCUCAGGUCAAAGACUCGGUGAUUGCUUUUCAUCUUUAACUGUAAGUGUGAGUGCACAGAGUCUCUUCCCUGGGGUCAGUUUCCUCCAGAGGGUUGGACUGCAUGGAUUGCUAAAGUCCCUUCCAGCUCUGACCUUCUAGGAUCCUAAGAGAACGAAGGGUGAGAGGAAUGUGCAUUAGAAGCUGUGGCAGGACUGCGGGGAGGAAGUAACACGCUUGCGCUGACAGGAGAGGCAGGAAGGAGGGAGGAGCAAGCCACAGGCUGGGGGAGGAAGAGGAAGAGAAGGAGGAGGAGGAGGAUGGCAGCAGCUCCGCUGCCACCGCUGGUCACCUUGGUUUGGGCUGGAGUUCUGCUCCUCCCAACAGAGUCCCAUGGCGCUGUCUUUGCUCAGCCCCAGACCCUGCCUUUCUCUUGGAACCUUGGGCAGAUGGCAAGGGCCCUUCAGUUGGACUGGCCACCAGGUUCUCCCAAGGCAGCCCUGCUGGCCCAGGCCCUAGAGCGGCUCCUUGAGGCAGAGGCUGGGUGGCGGGAGACCAAGGCUGAAGCUGCUGCCCUGGCCCAGCUCCUCUUGCACCUGUGGGGAGGCUCCCAUCUUGAGCCUGAGGUCAACAUGGAGGAGACAGUGUCACUUGGUCCCAAGGCCCAGGCCAAGGAUGAGGCAGCAGAUUCCAAGCAGGCACUCCUCAGAUUUGUGAUGAGCCAGCUGUUGGCCAAGAUGUCGGAGACCCAAAUCCCUCCCAUCUUGGUCAGGGGGGAACCAUGGCCCCGGCAACGUCGUCAUUUGCGCCGGGACCUGGGGCCAGGUCCUGCUUCCGUGUCACAUGGGACUGCACUACAGCGCCUGAACCGCCUGGAGGCCUUGGGAGCCAAGGGCAGGGCUCAGGUGCAGUGGGGAGUACCACUUGCUACCACACGCUACUGGCCAGAGUGACAGGGUCUCCAUCCACCCUUGCUUCCUGUCUCUCUCCUCCAUCAUGCAUGUUUAUCCCCAGCCUUGGCACCCAAGCUUAAUAAAAUAGCCUCCUUCGUGCCCCUGCA